GCUAAACGCGAAGAACCUUACCUAGGCUUGACAUGCAUCUCUAAGCGCGUGAAAGCGCGUGACCCUUCGGGGGAUUUGCACAGGUGCUGCAUGGCCGUCGUCAGCUCGUGUCGUGAGAUGUUGGGUUAAGUCCCGCAACGAGCGCAACCCUUGUGAUUAGUUGCCAGCACGUCAUGGUGGGAACUCUAAUCAGACUGCCCAGAUCAACUGGGAGGAAGGUGGGGACGACGUCAGGUCAGUAUGGCCCUUACGCCUAGGGCUGCACACGUACUACAAUGCCCGGCACAAUGAGAACCGAUGCCGCGAGGUGGAGGAAAUCUGCAAAACUGGGCUCAGUUCGGAUUGGAGGCUGCAACUCGCCUCCAUGAAGUUGGAAUCGCUAGUAAUGGGGCAUCAUCUACGGCCCCGUGAAUACGUUCCCGGGUCUUGUACACACCG
rnacentral:rRNA from 1 species